rnacentral:tRNA from 1 species
GCUCAUAUGGCGGAAUUGGUAGACGCGCUGGAUUCAGGGUCUAGUGAAGAAAUUCGUAAGAGUUCGACUCUCUUUAUGAGCA